AUUCCAUGACUAGGGCAUCUUCCUAAUAGUUCAUUGAACCUUUCCCGUGCCUCAUACAAGGACUCAUCAUCCUUCUGUUGGAAGGUAGUGAUCUCAUUCCUCAACUU
rfam:Gossypium arboreum cultivar AKA8401 contig_14080_7, whole genome shotgun sequence.